UACGUAGGGGGCAAGCGUUGUCCGGAAUCAUUGGGCGUAAAGCGCGUGUAGGCGGCCCGGUAAGUCCGCUGUGAAAGUCGGGGGCUCAACCCUCGAAUGCCGGUGGAUACUGUCGGGCUAGAGUGCGGAAGAGGCGAGUGGAAUUCCCUGGUGUAGCGGUGAAAUGCGCAGACUAUCAGGAGGAACACCAAUUGCGAAGGCAGCUCGCUGGGACGUGACUGACGCUGAGACGCGAAAGCGUGGGGG
rnacentral:rRNA from 1 species